AACGCGAAGAACCUUACCAAGGUUUGACAUGGCCGGAAAACUCAUGGAGACAUGGGGUCCUUCGGGGCCGGUCACAGGUGGUGCAUGGCUGUCGUCAGCUCGUGUCGUGAGAUGUUGGGUUAAGUCCCGCAACGAGCGCAACCCUCGUCCCAUGUUGCCAGCAAGUAAUGUUGGGGACUCAUGGGAGACUGCCGGGGUCAACUCGGAGGAAGGUGGGGAUGACGUCAAGUCAUCAUGCCCCUUAUGUCUUGGGCUGCAAACAUGCUACAAUGGCCGGUACAAAGGGCUGCGAGCCUGCGAGGGUGAGCGAAUCCCGGAAAGCCGGUCUCAGUUCGGAUCGGGGUCUGCAACCCGGCCCCGUGAAGUCGGAGUCGCUAGUAAUCGCGAAUCAGCAACGUCGCGGUGAAUACGUUCCCGGGCCUUGUACACACCGAGACGUA
rnacentral:rRNA from 1 species